UACGUAGGGUGCGAGCGUUUAAUCGGAAUUACUGGGCGUAAAGCGUGCGCAGGCGGCGCGUUAAGACAGGUGUGAAAGCCCCGAGCUUAACUUGGGAAUUGCGCUUGUGACUGGCGUGCUGGAGUGUGGCAGAGGGAGUGGAAUUCCACGUGUAGCAGUGAAAUGCGUAGAGAUGUGGAGGAACACCGAUGGCGAAGGCAGCCUCCUGGGCCAGCACUGACGCUCAUGCACGAAAGCGUGGGUAGCAAACAGG
rnacentral:rRNA from 1 species